rnacentral:rRNA from 1 species
GGCMCWKAGSAWGCACCGGCUAACUCCGUGCCAGCAGCCGCGGUAWUACGGGGGGUGCAAGCGUUGUUCGGAAUUAUUGGGCGUAAAGCGCGUGUAGGCGGUCUGAUUAGUCUGAUGUGAAAGCCCUGGGCUCAACCCAGGAAGUGCAUUGGAUACUGUCAGACUUGAAUACGGGAGAGGGUAGUGGAAUUCCUAGUGUAGGAGUGAAAUCCGUAGAUAUUAGGAGGAACACCGGUGGCGAAGGCGGCUACCUGGACCGAUAUUGACGCUGAGACGCGAAAGCGUGGGUAGCAAACAGGAUUAGAUACCCUGGUAGUCCACGCCGUAAACGAUGAGAACUAGGUGUCGCGGGUA